ensembl:rRNA 5S_rRNA 5S ribosomal RNA
GCUUAUGGCCAUACCAGCCUGGCUAUGCCCGAUCUUGUCUGAUCUCGGAAGCUAAGCAGGUUUGGGCCUGGUUAGUGCCUGGAUGGGAGACCGCCUGAGAAUGCCAGGUACUCUAAGCU